rnacentral:rRNA from 1 species
UACGGAGGGGGCUAGCGUUGUUCGGAAUUACUGGGCGUAAAGCGCACGUAGGCGGCUUUGCAAGUUAGAGGUGAAAGCCCGGGGCUCAACCCCGGAAUUGCCUUUAAAACUGCAUCGCUAGAAUUGUGGAGAGGUAAGUGGAAUUCCGAGUGUAGAAGUGAAAUUCGUAGAUAUUCGGAAGAACACCAGUGGCGAAGGCGACUUACUGGACACAUAUUGACGCUGAGGUGCGAAAGCGUGGGGAGCAAACAGG